UACAGAGGUCUCAAGCGUUGUUCGGAUUCAUUGGGCGUAAAGGGUGUGUAGGUGGCGCGCUAAGUCGGGUGUGAAAUUUCGGAGCUUAACUCCGAAACUGCAUUCGAUACUGGCGUGCUUGAGGACUGGAGAGGAGACUGGAAUUUACGGUGUAGCAGUGAAAUGCGUAGAUAUCAGGAGGAAUACCUGUGGCGAAGGCGACCAUCUGGAAGACAACUGACGCUGAGACGCGAAAGCGUGGGUAGCAAACAGG
rnacentral:rRNA from 1 species